rnacentral:lncRNA from 1 species
ACGGGAGGAAGUGCAAGUGAGAGGUGUUGGGUUCAAGUUUUAUCGCUUACACUAAAAAAAAGUUAAAAUUUUAUUACAAUGAAGUUUGUUUAAAGUUGACCAAGUAAAAGGAUUAGAAUAUUGUUUAAGAAAUAAAUGAUAACAAUGUGGGGCCAACUUGUCGUUAACUACAUCCGACAACUCCUAUGAGCAUAUCCAGUUUUCCACAAUGUAUAAAAGUGGGCUGGGGCACAGGCUAGACCUUGUUCUGCAGAAGUUCGGCCCAAAUUUGCUCCCACAAAUUUUGUUUUAGUUCCAUCCACUUGGGACAUGCUGUAUUCUAGACGCCUUAUUGUUGUGAAUUCUCAAUUUUAAUUCCUAAUCCAUUUAAACUAUGGUCCUGUUUGACAAAUGAGUUUUUUAGAUGUUUGUCUAAAAUUUCACUGUAACUUACUAUAAAAGUUGUAAGCAAAAUUUUUGAAGUAUGUAAAUUUUUUAAUAUUUUGAAGCGUAUAGUUUAAAAACUAUGAAGAGUUUUUUAAAGUUACUGUAGCUAACGUUAUUAAAAAACUUAUUUAUAGCAGAUAAACUUGAUCAAAAAUUUGUUUGUCAGACAGGCCUAUGUUUAUUUAGAAUAUAGGGUAGGACAAAUCUAACUUGGGGUAGGGGGGGAAGGGGCGGGGGUUAUAAAAUUGGACUGAAAAUGACAAAAGUAUAUAUAGUUGCCAAUGUGACCGAGUCACCUAGUAGUGAUGAUAAUGACUCGCCUGAAAUUUGGAAAUCUCAAGGGAUCAUCAUGAGUGCAGUCAUGACAUAAACUAGUUGCAUGACUAGGUAAAAAUAUAAGAUUGAUGGUGACUCACCACUCAUCGGCCCACUCAAUUCAUUUUAAUUUUGGAGAAUUUCAAGUGUUAAUAUUCAUCACUUGAACAAAUUCCUUCUUGGAGUUUCACAUCCAAAAGCAAAAACUUUUACUACAAAGCAAUGGCAGAGCCGGAAAGAACUUUCACACUAGGGGCAAAGACAAUAAUUAAUAGAAUUUCUUGCUUAAUUUUUCUUUUCUUUUUUUUUUUUAAAUUUGAAAAAUAAGACAUAUCAAUAGUCAUGUACCUAGUAUUAAUAGUGCAUAUAUGUUGUGAGUACCAAAAAAAGGCAUACUAGAAUUUACUCAUAAAAUUAUCAUGUUUUAAAAUACCAUACAUGAAUUCAUCAUGUUUUGCUAAUGAUUUACAACUUUUUCGACUUUCAACUCUACAAAAUAUAUAUUUUUCAAUAUAAGUAAUUAAAAAAAUCUAUCUAGGAUUCCGAAUGAAUAAGUGAUAAAUUAUACCAAAUUCCAAGGGGACUAAACAAGUGAUAAAUAUAACAAAUGAAUCAUAUAUUACAACAACUUUCAAAAGAACUGAAUGGCUAGACCGGAGAGAGUUGUCAUUCAAGGGAAGUUACUGAGAUUUCUAAAACUUCAAAAGUGUUAGGUGAUGUUAGGUUUUAAAUCUUAGAGGAAGUUUCUAAAAUUAAUCCAAGAAAAAAAAAAAAGCAAUGAACCUCAGAGAUUGAUCCAGUUUUGAGGUAAUCUACCUUUUAAUUUAAAGAAAUGAAACAAUUUAAACAGAAACAACUUUCCAAGUGUAUCUUUUUUAAAUGGACAAACCUAACAUACAACUAAUCAAGUUUAAGUGGAAUGAGGGAGCGAAAAAUAAAUAAAAAAUGACUGGUGGAGGCCUAUAGACUUUAAAAGCAGGUAAAUAAAUUUAUUGGAGAAAGUUGAGCUUGACGGGGAAACAAUAAAAAAAAAACAAAAAAAAAACUACUCAGACAUUAGUACGUACUACUGUUUUCUUUGUUUUUCUCUUGUAAGCCAUUACCAACAGCCACGUAUCCUCCACUUUUUCUUUUCUUUUCCUUUUUCUUCUCCUUUUUUUUUCUCAAGGGACCACGUAUACACCCACCUCAGUGCACAAAACAAUAGCCCGUUGAAGGAUUUAGAAGAGAAACAAAAAGGCAAAUAUAGUGACAACAUCACAUGCAGUUUGGACUUGGGAUUCACUCUAUCCUCUGUCUCCGUUUAUCCCUCUUCUUAAACCCUUGAAGUCCCUUGAAGUCUAGGUGAGAUACGUGCAUAUGCAUGAAGACUUAAUUUUUAUGCUUAAAUUUUGUGUCUUUACAAGUUUGAUAUGAUUUGGACUCGUGGGUUUUCUUGCUUUGUUGUUAUAGGGCUAUUUGAUCCUGAGCAGAAUUGAAGUUUCAAGUAAGUGAAUUUGAGUGAAAGGUAUCAAAUUUAAUCUGAACCCGUCAAGAAAUUAGUUUAAGUUUGCCAAAGAUUGUUGCUUUUUUGAAGUAAGUGAAUUUCAGUGAAAGGUGUCAAAUUUGAUCUGAACCCGUCAAAGAAAUUAGUUUUAAGUUUGCUAAAGGUUGUUGCUUUUUUGAAGUUUCAAGUAAGUGAAUUUCAGUGAAAGGUAUCAACUUUAAUCUGAACCCGUGAAAGAAAUUAGUUUAAGUUCGCUAAAGAUUGUUGCUUUUUAUACUUUUGUGUGAUGAUUUAGCUACUUUUGUUUCUGGGAUUUUCCUGGUGUUUCACUGCAUGUAAAUAGGUGUAUUUUGUUGAAUCAUCCUAUUAAGUCUGUUGUUUCGUCUCUAAACCUACAUAUACGGUAUAGAAUGCAACAUAAGUGUAUGGUGAUGCUGUUAUGGAUGUUUGUGUUUUUCUUUGGCUUUGCUGCUGUUUCUCUUGAUGUUUGCCCUUUUUUUCACCCAAGUUUGUAUUAAUUUGAUGCUUAAUCUGGUUGUGAGUUAUCAGGCAUAGGUAUGUGUAUGUUUUUGUGAAAAGGCAAGUGAGUUUGUGCUUGUCGAAUCUGAUUCAUGCUGUGUGGUUUAUGGGUAUAAUAGUUACCUUAUUAAAUGUUUCUUUUGUGCUUUACAAAAUGAUUAAUUGUUGAAAAUGAAAGGAAAGGGGCCAUUUUUCGGUAUUCUUGAGGUUAAAUCAAGGCUGUCUCUUCGUUACUAGUUGACUUUUGAAUGGUAUGGCUUUAUUUUUUGCCGGAAAUUUGAUAUGCUGAGUCUUUCAUCUUAUUUAAUCAAACUAGUUUCUGCUGUUUAUUGUUGUUUGCGUUCGCUGAUAUAUAGACUCUUUCUGCUUUGGUUUGUAUUUUCUGACACUGUUCAGUCGUCAUUCUUUUAGUAUUGAAGAGAGUUUUGUCAUCAUGACACUCGGUGAUGUAGAAUUCCUUGUAUGCCUAUUGUAAACAUUUUUUUUUUUAAUUUUGCUUUUCGGUAAUGUAGCCGCAUUUAUGAUAAGGAAGAUGUUUGGAUAAUUUUCUGAUCAUUUGUUGUUCUAACUUCUACCAUCCCCAGUAAAUUCUGCUCGCUGUGUUGAUUGUUGAUGGAACACCCCCUGGUCCUACUUGAGUGUGCACUAUGGUGGAGUCUUUAUGAAUUAUAUGUUUGGAUGUUACAGAUGCAUCAUGUGUUAUUACAUGACUCUUAUGUUGUUGGCUUUUGGAGAACUUUCCAUUGCAUUAAAUGUCUAGGCACUUGGUUUCUGCAUAAUUGGAGGUAUCAAACUUGAAGUUACUAGACAUGACUCCAAAGCAUUAGACAAGGCAAGAACGAUUACUGAUUGAUUGACCUGGGCUUUUGGUUAUGGUAUUUGAGGAGUUCUGUCAAAAUAACUAUUUUGUUGAGGUGGCUUAUCACACCACAUAUCAUAAAUAGCCCUUGAGCUGUUAUAGAAAUGGAGUUUAUUGGAUUUAUGAAUUCAAAGUAAUUUACCUACUUCCACUCCAUGCAAUAUGUGUCUUCCUCUGGGAUGAAAAAACAAAUGAAGGCUGUCCAACUUUAGCUAAAUAGUAUUCUAAUAUCUACACUUUUUUUUUUCUUCUCUCCAAAUAUCCAUUCACUCUUUCUCCAUGUUGCAUUCAGGAAGUGAAUAUCCUAAAGCUUUUACCUAAGACUUGACAAAACAUGGAUCAGCAAGGAAACGGACAACUUCCAGGUAUGGAGGUGGUUGGUAGCUCUGCUCAUGUGCCAUAUAGUGUUGCACCAUAUCAAACUAACCAAAUGAUGGGCCUCUCUCCUUCUGCAUCAGCUGGUCCAGUUCAAGCUCCUCAAACAGCUGGCCUUCCUGCCUCUUCUACUCAGAUGGCGCAACACCAGCUUGCCUAUCAGCACAUUCACCAGCAACAACAGCAGCAAUUGCAGCAACAGCUCCAGAACUUUUGGGCAAACCAGUACCAAGAAAUUGAGCAAGUGACUGAUUUCAAGAAUCAUAGCCUGCCAUUGGCCAGGAUCAAGAAAAUAAUGAAAGCGGAUGAAGAUGUUAGAAUGAUUUCAGCAGAAGCACCAGUUAUAUUUGCCCGGGCCUGUGAGAUGUUUAUCCUCGAGUUAACCCUGCGUGCGUGGAACCACACAGAGGAGAAUAAGAGGAGGACCCUUCAAAAAAAUGACAUUGCAGCAGCCAUCACUAGGACUGACAUAUUUGAUUUUUUGGUUGACAUAGUACCAAGAGAGGACUUGAAAGAGGAGAUGCUUGCAUCAAUCCCCAGAGGGCCCCUUCCUGUUGGAGGUCCUGCAGAGGGUGUCCCUUACUACUACAUGUCAGCCCAGUCUGCUCCACCGGUUGGAGCUCCAGGGAUGUAUAUGGGUAAACCCGUUGAUCAAGCUCUUUAUGGCCAUCAGCCUCGUCCUUAUAUGCCUCAGCAGAUGUGGCCACACCAACAGCAACCACCUGCCGAUUCUUAGGCAGAAGUGAAGAAUUAUCCAACUGUGAGUACUUCUAUCUUCACGGUGAAUCCUCAUGCAUGUACCAGAGUUUGACAAUUAUGUCACUUUGCUCUCUGGUUCCGCUAGAUCUCUUCAUGUUUUCUUUGGACACUGUCAACAUUGUAAUUCUCUGGUGGUUUGAGCAAUCAAAUCUCACGAUUAUGUUUGAGGAUUAAGAAGGCUUUUAAACUUGUCAUCUUCCGCAUGGUUGCCUUUGACUACACUUUAUGCGUAUGGAUGAUUUAGAUGUGUUCUUUGCUACAUAAGCCACUUGCAGGUAGAUAGGAUUGUGCAUACUUUGUUUAGGUGUUCAUGCAGUUUCACUUUGUGGUGUAUAAUUUAGUGACUGGUCUAUAUUUGGGGUAUAUUUAAUGUAACAAUGAGAACUUUUAAUCCAAAAAUUAUCUUCACACUUACGAUUUGACUAUUUUACUUCUCAGCCCAACUCCACCCCCUUCCCCUUUCCCAACUUUCUAUGAGGUAAUUAAUUUUUAGUUGAUUUGCUCUACAUCAAGUGUACGCUUCACUUUUUUUUUUUUUUUUCCAUGACUGACAAAUGAAAUGAAUUUGCAGGAGUUGUGAGAGAUUUUUCAGAUCAAGUACUGGAGACAUACCAAACUGAUAGAUGACUGCAUAGAGAGACUUUAAAAGACAGAAGAAUAUGUGUUGCACCUUUGUUAUUCCUAAGUUAUGUAACUAAAUUCUGCACAAAUUCAGUUUUAAGGCUUAAGUAGUGUUUAACUAUGUACUAGUUAAGUUAGAUUGUCAUGGUUUGUGGCUAAUAACAUGUACCAGCCUGUUUGGGCUGCCUACUGUCCAUGUUUUCCAGAUUUGCGACUGAUCUGUCUAGUUUGUCGGUGUAUCUUUCAAUGUCCCUUCCAACUGCUUCCUAGGCAAUAACGUUUCCUUGAAAAAUGACUCUAGUAAUAAGGUGCUGCUUCGCUGCAGCUAAAGUGGAUCACCGACAAGUGAGUAAUGCACGGUGGCUCAUCACUCGUUCGUUUACUAAUUUGGUUCUUCACCAUGAGAAAACAAUCCUGAGAUUGCCCUUUUUCCUGUGUUUGUAGAAAAGACCGAUGCUGCAGACUGUUCAGGAGGCCUCUUUUUAAGUUAUGAGCCAAUUUCUCUCUUCAUUUUAUAGUGAGGAAUUGAUUCGUUUUACACCCAUUAUCGUAUUCCCUAAAGAAAUUAUAGAUAGGAAAAGUUUUAUAAGCUCCAUUACUCCUCUUCCAUGGUGAUGUCCUUGCUCGUUAAGAAAAUAUACAUUCCUUUUCUUUUUUUGCCAAUUGUUUUUGCAUUCCAUGUCCCAGUACAUUGAUGGAACUUUCUAAAUUUGCAUUAUUCUCUGAUUAUGAUUAUAAAAGAAAGAUAUCAUAGCAAAGAAAUUGCAGGAACAAAACCAUUGGACCAUGCCCCGGGCAAGGAUCCUGCUAUCUUCCGUGAAUAGCAAAACAGGAUAGCUAUGCUUUUUCAAAAAAUUUUUUUUUUUUUUUGGAGAAUAGCUGUGCUCUUAAUCAUAUGAUUUAAACUCUCAUAUAAAGGUUUUUUUUUAAAAAAAAAAUUAAUAUCGAUACAAAGAUGCUUCAACUUUUAGUUUUAUAUCAGUUUUCCCCUAUCGGGUUUUGACCAAUUCCGGCAAGAAGCCAAACUACUCGGACUCUAUCAUGGGUUUAUUCAUAUCACGAAAUGACGGGGCAGAUUUCUUCCAAACUGCAGAAAGGAGAAAAAAAUAAGAGUUUUUGUUAGUACGUAUGCUUAAAGCAUAACUCUUUAACAAAAUUAUUUGAGAAACUACCUACCUUCUUCCCAAGCACUCGAUGAUAUCACUGGUAAGAGUCGACCUUUUCUUCUGAUCAAAUGCAAGAGAAGCUGCCUUUCUCAGUAUUGCAGAUGCAGCGAUGCAGCCUAAAAUUGUUGGAUUCGUACCCAACUCUCCUCUAUUAGCAGACUGACGAGCCCAAGAAAGGAAUACAGCAACACUGCCAAGAAAGGUACAAGAAAUCUUCUAUGAAAUGAUGGACAAUCGAGAACAGACCAAUGGUAUACAUGUAGAGAACUCGUCACAAUAGCUUACCUUCCUGAAAGUAUAUCACCCUGACCACCACAACGCCGAGGAGAACCAUAUAUGCUUACUGCACUAACUGCAUAAACCAAAAAAGAAAACUUCAAAUCUAUGCAUACAUUAAUCACAUAAAAAGAAAAGCAGAACAUUGUAGCAUGCUCAAAAUGGGGAAGACACCCACUGGAUUUCGAGCACCCAAGAAGUUAUAAUUUAGAAUAACUCUUUAAGCACAAUACCAGAAUUUGGACUGUGUACUCAUCCAUGCCCAUGUAUGAAUCCUUUUUUUUUUCUCCCCUUUCGUGUUCGUUGAUAUAAUUCCAUGUUCAUACAUUGUUGAAGAUCAUUAAGUGUGCUUUUGUGCACUAGAAAAGCCAAGGCGGGAUUAGUGAGUCGUAGUGUGUUUGCAGAUCUGUUUCACUGGUAGGUAAUUAAAUCUGGGGAAACAGAGUAGCUUAUGUAUGUAACAAGCUCUGACCUUGUGGGGAAAAAAAAAUGAAGAAAUAAAAAGUUACCUUUUUCACCAUCAGUGAUGAAAUCAGAUUUUCCUUUUCGUAAGAUUGUCACACCACCAAUCCUAAUCAGGAAGAGACUCAAUUAUUGGACUGCUAUUUGACUUUAUAGAAUUAAGCACACAAUACAGAAACAUGCAACACUAAGAGUCAAUGAUAGAAUUAUAAACAUGCUAUGAGAUGCAGCUCAAAAGAAAUCUCCUGCACUAUUUUGCUUCAUUCCAAAAUCAAAGAUUAGCAUAAAAUUGCUUUUUCAUUGAAUAAAUCAGAGUAACAGUGAAAUACUUGGGAGGAGAGGAGGGGUUAAGGAUGAGCUAUCAUCCUUUUAGGUGGAGUAAAAGCAUAUAUGUCAGCAUGGAUCAUGUACCACUACCAUGAAUACAAGUAGGCCAUCCAAUCUGGUGUGACUAAGAUUUUCCUUCCAAUACUUUGACACAUCCCAUUCCCUCCCACGGGUCAUUCUGCUUCUGGUAGGAUUUAUGUAUGUCCUCACUUAGGAUUGUUGUGCGUAUCACUAAUUAGCACCAAAAACAUCCUUUAUAGGUGUCUCAGAAGGAAAGGAGAACAUCCUUAUCAUCAUUUGCACAAGUUAUCAAACUUCAUAUGACAACUGAUACAAGGCAGGUUACCGAAUAAGUGAACAAUAGCUUGCAGAUGUCAAUCAAGCACAUACCCUUUUCCAAGAGCCAAUAACUGCUUGCUUCCUUCUUCAUCAUUUACUUCACAAUUUAAUAUUUUCUGAACAAGCCGCUUAUAUUCAUUAACAUUUGGAGUCAGAACAGCUAACGGAUAACCUCUAACUAGAUCAGGGGAAUUUGCAACAAGAAAAAGCCCAUCCUGGAAAAGCAACAGCACAAAGGGCUCAAAAAUUGAAAGAUGAAAAGCAAUUCAGGAAUAUAUGCCUUGAGGAAAAUAAAUUCCAUCUCUGUAGUUACAUACACCAUCAAUGACCAUUGGCACAUUGGACUCCCUUGCAUGUUUCAUGAUGUUACUCACACAGUCCUGGACAUGAAACUUGAUCGUUAGAAUAGAUUGUUACAGCAACCAUUAUAAAAAAAAAAAAAAGAAGACAUGUUGCAAAGAUUGAUUCUGAAUUUGAUGGCUCUUUGGUUCCAUGCAAAAAUAAAUGCAAGGGAAACUAUAAUAUAACCAAAUUAGGAGUAUAUACUAUAAAACCAUAGUCUCUCCACAUUAUAAUGUGAAACAACCAUCAUUACGCUCAUCUUAUAUCAACAUCUGACAUUUCAUCACUUCAAUUCUAUAUCAUCUGGGAUACAUCAAAACCUCCACAUGACCACGUUAAACCAUGAAAUGAGGCAAUUUCUUCAGGCAGGUUUAAAACUUGGAAGGACUAGAAUGAAAGAUACGUACAAGGAGAAAGGGGUCCCUCCCGAGUCCUGGACCAAUAACAAGACAAUCAAAUCUUUCCAUCCAUUUAUCUACCUCCUCAAUCACCUUAGCUGAUAUUGAUCCUUUUUCCUCAUUCCUGGAAGUGAUCUUCCACAAAAGUUAGUUAUAAGCCACAAAUUGAAGGUUAACUCUCUACGUGACUAAGAGAAAAGAAAGAAUGUAGUUAGAAUAGCACCAAAAGGAAGACAAGAAAGAAAGCCACCUGAUGCUGUAAGAUUCUUCCAGAAUAGGAUGCACUAUUAACUCGGGACUAUAGCUUUUUAUGACAGUAGCAGCAUCUUUAGUACAGAAUACAUGUGAUACGUCUGCACCCUGAAGCACAGAAGAUGUAAAUUAGGAACUCUUGAGCAGCUAAAUUUGAAAAAUAGAUAGGUACAGGAAAUUGAAACAAAACAUGACAACAAACAGAAGCACAGAUUGGUAGGACUCACAAGUUUUAGAGCUGAUAUAGCAGAAAAAUAUGGAGCUCCAGUAUAUUCACGACAUCCACCAACGACAGCUACUUUUCCUAAUUGGGAUAUGCACAAGUUGGAACAACACUAUCAAUUAGACAGCCAUUUUCCCAUUGGAAACUCAACAUAGUUGAUUAAUAGAUGGAGUGGCUGGAAAAGUUCUAAGACGAUAUCCAUUCAGUUGCCUGUGGUGACAACUACUGGACAAAUUUUUACAUCACCAAUCUCUCACAUCCACCUAUUUAGCUAUUCAUGUCCAAGAUAAACUUAAUCCGAAGUUUAAAGCAUAAAAUGAAGAAGGAAAACAGUUCUCCUGGUAGUUCAGUCCAAACAAAAGGCCAACUAACAAAGAUAAAAUUGACAUAAUGGCCAAGGCCGGGAUAGAGACCAUACUUCAAUAUCUUCAACGCCACUUCUAACAAGUAGCUAUGAUCAAAUAGCUACUCAUAGUCCAUCAGCUCAAAAACAUUAUACGGUGGAUCUCAUUUGAACAGGAAAAUACCAAUCUUUUGUUUUAGCAGGGCCCAAAGCAAAUGAUGAAACCAGAAUAAAUCCUUUAUGUAACCUGAUGAAACUAAUCCUCCACAAUAAGUAUCCAAUGUAUGACCACUGCCAUGGAAAACCAAGUAGUGUCAUCGAUCAGUCUGAAGGUUAGAUAUGAAGUGACCUCAGGUGGUUUUAGAAAAACUACUGUUGCAGAAGCCUAACCAUCUAUGCGUGCUUCUCACUAUGUAAUCUACUUGCUGAAAAAUGUCACAACUUGGUUUUCAUAAUCCAUUAGCUUUGCAACUGUUCUCUAAAUAAAGUGCCGUACACACACACAUCCAAAAUUAAGAAGAAAAAUGUCAACACUACUUUCUCUUCUGAUCCUAACUAUAAUAGAUUGUCUGCAAUGAUUGUGAAUAUGGAACUAAUAAAAUUCUUAAAAAAAAAGGGUCCAUCUACAAAAUUUAAGAACUUGGGUCAUCUCAAGCACCAUCGUUUUCAGCAACCCCAAAUUAAAGACUAACAACACCACAACUAUGUACAAAAGCCAAUAGCAUUUCGCUUAGAUAUCAGUCAAUGAGUGUGUGAGAGAUGUAAAGCGUAUUUUUUUACAGAGACAAAAGCAGAAAGAUUGCACACCAGCUUGGCCUUUAUGUCUGGUUGGGUCAAGAGUAGGAGUAAUUGAUCUCAAAAUGCUAACUGCGUCAGCUUCCAAAGAGGGACCACCGCUCAUGGCAGAAUGCAUUCUGAUAACACAAUGAUGAUGGAAAUUGUUGCUGUAGUUCUUCUCUUUUCUGUAGCCUCCCAAACACCUUAUCAAGAAAUUUUGCCUCCUAAAAACAGCAGCUGCAGCAGCUGGAGAAAAACCACGCACCAUAAAACUUUGUCAACCUGCACAAGAAAAAUCAAUUGCAACCCAUUAUUUAAUUCCCGAAACCCAUUUAAAAAACCAAAUACUAUGCUGCAAUUGGGACUCCUGUUGUGAUGUGAACUUGUAAUAAAAAUCACUUCUUUAGAGUAGAUAAUCAUAUGACGAGUAUUUUAAUGAUAUUGUAGAAAUUCAGGUGUUCAGAGUAGAGCAGAACAAGAUGAUGAAGAGAUAUAAAAGAAUUUUUCUUUUUCAUAGGAACUUAUACCUGUGGAGUUUAGUAGUCAGAAACAGCAGCGGAAUGCCGGAAAUUCGAAGGUUUUGUUGAGGUGAGUGAAAAUUACUUCCUCGAAAGUGAAAAUUCGAUGAUCUUCACCUGUGAAACCACUUUAUUUAAUAAUAUGUGUGUAAAUACCAUUAUACCCCAAAACCCCGCUUAGCAGUAUGCUGGAGUGCAAGCGCAUUGCUUUAGGCACUUUAGGAAUUUACAAAUUUCUUGAAAAUAAGGAAAAGAAAAAAACUUGCGAAAUGAACAAUUUCCAAUCAAUACUGGUGAGAGCAUACACCAGAAACUGAAGAGUGGUCGGGCAAGAAAAUAACACGUAGAAGAACAAGAAGAAGAGGAAUGAGAGGGACGGCAAAGAUGAAUGCAAUGAGGUCAGGGGUAGUGGUGUUAGGAGCUUUAGCAUUCGGGUAUUUGACCCUGCAACUGGGCUUCAAGCCUUUUCUCGAAAAAGCACAAAAGCAGCACCAAGAAUCCCUUCUCCUCCAACAGCAACAGCAACAGCAACAAUCCGAGGAAGCUUCUCAGACACUCUCUGAGUAGAAGUAAUUCAUGGUUCUCCUCAAUAAAUUUGUAACCUAAACGAAAGCUCAAACUUUUGUCUCUUCUGCAGUUCUGCCCCUUAGUUCCAUGUUUUAUGCAUUAGUAACAUUUCCAGUUUUCUUGAACGAAGUCUUACAUUGAAAUGCUUAGCUAUUCUCGGUGAUCAGCAUUUCUAAUGAUUUCUUUGUCUAAUAGGGGUUGUACGUUGUUUUUUGUUUGUUGGAAUUUGAAAUUUUUAUGUGGCGAAUAAUGGCUUAACUACUUUGAAGCUGGACUAGUUAUUCAAGUUGAAGAAUAAGCAAAGAUUCUGACAUUUAUUCAUAUACUAUAGCAUAUUUGUUUAUGUUAGUAUGGGCAGGUCGCUGGGAUGUAAGAUCAUUGCUAUAAAGCUUUGCUCUAUUUUAUUUUAUUUUUCUGAAUCAGGAUUUGGAGCAUUUAUUUGAAGUCUUAUCGUGCAAUUUCAGGUCAAACUAUUAGCUCAGGUAGAAUAAUAAGGAAUGACUACAUUUCACAUGUUAGAAGAAUUUUUGUUAUAACUUGUUGGAUGUAGUAUUAGAAGGUUUUGUAGAUAAAGAUCAAUAUGUGAACCUUGUUAAGUUGAAUUGGGAGCUUUUAGUCUUAUUACCUAGCCAAAGAGGAGGAGACACUGCCAAUGAUUACCGUGGUAGUUGUCUCCAGCUUGAGUUUGGAUUGGUGUGCAAAUCCAGAGCAGAUGAAGUGAUGAUGAACCUUGCAAAGCGUAAAGAGAAAUAUAGGUUAUCUUGUUUUGAUUGGUUCCUCAAUAAAGUUUUGCUUUUGCCAUGAGACCAAUCAGAAAUUGAAGGUGGAAAGUGAAUCCGAAUAAAAUGCUAAUAUGGAGUGACUUAACAAUUCUCAUAUGUAGAAAGUUAUUUUCUCAUAAUGUGUUAACUUGAGUUUUAGUAGGUUUGUCAACAAAUGAUCAUUGCUAUAAGUAGGUUUGUCAACAAAUGAUCAUAGAUAGACCUUAAGUAGUUGUAGAAGGUUCAUCAUUGAAAAUCCACUAUUAUAAGCUUUAUAAAGUUGAGUUGAAUUGGGAGCUUUAAGUCUUAUCAGGCAAGAAAAGUGUGGGAUUUUGUUGGUGAUUAGCAAAGUAGUUACAACUUUGGUUUUUCAUUGUUGUGAUGUUUAAAGUAUUAUGAUAUGGUGAUGAACCCCCUGCAAAGAAUGAAUAGAAGUGGCAGUUUUCUUCUUUGGAGAUUGGCACUCUGGCCUGUAAUUUUUUGCUCUUCUCCGAAUGAUUUGAAGCCAUCUCUAGAAAAAGCACAAAAGUGGCAAGAAGCCCUCCUCCUCCAACAACAACAAUAAGAACAGUCUGAAGAAGCAUCUCAAGUGCUCUCUGAUCACAGAUAAAUGAUGGUUCUUCUGAAUCAUCUGUAACUGCUGCAACUACAACUUUUCUCUCUGUGUUUUCUUAUUUGUGCUUAUUAUCAUUGCAUUUCCAGUUUUAAUAUCACACAUUUGUUGAACUACAAAUCUAGUUUCGGUAAUUAUGGCAGUAAACUUGUCUCAGUUAUUCUAGUGCUGUUCAAUUUUCUUAAUUUCACUUCAUUCCGUUUGUAGUGGAAUUUGUGUAUAUCUUUGUCUUUGUGGGAAGAUAAAACAUGGGAUGAAUUUUUGAAGUUGGUGUAUUAAUCUACUAAAAAAUUACAUACAAUAGCCUGUUUCAGUUGGCCAUGGAAAUGGCAUGUUUGGACCAUUGUGGACAUAAUGACAUUUAUUCUUGUCUUUUUUUUUUUUUUAAUAAUUGUGUACAAUCUAAAUAGUUGCGGUAAGGUUUUUCAAGAUCAAUUAAGUGAUAAUCGUAAAAUGUUUGAAAAAAGAUAGAAACAGAGAGCUAGUAUUUUCUAUAGGCAGUUUCUGAAAGAGUUGCUUGUUUAGAGCCUGAGUGAUAGGAGAUAGAACCAUGACGAGCUAUUAUCACAAGUAAUCUAGACAAUGACAAAACAAUGUGAUUCAGUUGGAUAUGGAAAUUUUAUUGGACCGGAACAUAAGAGCUGCUCCUACGUAAAGUUAUGACAGUAUGAAGGAUAAUGGACAGAAGAUCAAAAUCCAAAAGCUCUGGAAAAUUUAUCUUCCAAGUUAAGAGCAACAUUUUUAGUAAAGAGUUGUUUUUCUUCUUAAAAUUCAUUUCUUCUGAAGAUUUGGGUACUAUAGAUGUGUUGAUUUGUCACUAGUUUUGUGGAUUGCAUUUAACAUGAGUUCUAUAAAACUAAAUUGGUCAUACAGGUGGUAUGGUAGGCUUGAUGUCGCUUAAUCUGUUAAUUCAAUCAACAGAACUAGGCUACAAUUUAAUUAUCUGUAAGAACAAAGCUCUCAUGGAAUCAGUAUAAUGGAAAGUUAUGUUGUAACGAUCAGUCACCAAUGCUUAAGAUGUAAAAGAUAAUCAAACCAAGAAAGUAGGUGAUGAUGCUGAGGAUGAGGAUAUUUAAGCAGAAGUAUACCAUGAAGGCUUAGAUAAUUAGGUCCAGGAGGAGGCUCUCGGAAGUGGAACAUGCAGUGGUUAAUUAUGAUUUCUAUCUUACAUGUGGAGUCAGAUUAGUGGCAGUGGCUGCUGAGUCUUUGAUAUUUUAGGAAGUUACUUAUCAUGAAACGGUUAACAGGAUUGGUAAAGGAAGGGAGGAGAGAGAUCUUACAACUAGAACAAGUCAAGGUUUUAGUGAUAUGACGAGGCUAUGUUUUGAGAGGAAACUAAGAUGAUUACAAGUUCAGAGAAUUUUGUUACAUGAUGCUAGGACUGCUAGCUGUAUAAUAUAUGUCAAGGAAGAGCAAGUGGUAAUCCUGUAUAAUAUAUGCCGAAUAGGGGGCUUUCUGGUUUCAUAGUGUGAUGUAAUAUUCAGAUGCUUGUUUCUUUUCUGUAGAAGAGUGUUUAUGAGACAACCAUAUGAUAAAGAAUUAUCAACAAGUCAGCAACAGUAUUAACAUUCAGAAAAUUGGUGCAACAGUUCAUAAAUGUUUAGACUGACUAUCUAACUGUGGUUUACUAAUUGUAGAACUAGCGAACCAGUCGUCUGUUGUUUGUCCAUGAUUCGAGAGACUCAAAAAGCAUUGAAGACUUUGAGAAGAAGCAGCAUAUUCCUUUGCUCCUUCAUCCAUUACGAUGGAGGAAAGCACUUGAUUAAGAUAAGGGGAAUAUGCCUAAAUCUAUUUCUGCUCAGAGUGGGGACUAGUAGGUUAUUCGUCUCCCACUUCUGUGUCUUUGAGUGAUCAGUAGAUUUGCCAGAUGACCAGAUAUAACUACAAAUGAUGACAAAGUCUGAGACUGGAUUUUUUUUUGGUGACCCAGAAAAACGAACAGAAAGAGAAAUGAAACGCUAUGAUCAAUAGUUGUUUGAGCUACUACUGCUUGUGUCAGCAUUCCAGCUUACAUUAAAUCAAUCAAAGCUCAAGUCCGCAUUGAUUAUCACGAUGGUUAUCAAUUAAGACACAUACAUGCAUCCUAGAUAACAUAAGCACUUGGCAUUUCUGUUUCUUAGCCCUGUCUUGAAUGUUGUUUCUCUACUGCUGUAGUUAGAGAAGAUUUGGCCCAUGAUUUAUCUCAGGUGGCUCAAUAUUAUUGGCACGCCUGCCUUCCAACAGAGAAUCCAAAUAGGAAUAGCUACGGUUGCAACUGCAUAUGCCUGGACUUUCUCCUACCCUUUUCCUGAAUGGACCCAAUCAGUAGUAAGAAUUAUCCUAUGAUCUCUUUCAAGCAGUUCUUGCAAACCCAUUCAUUGGCUUCAGGGAAUUGGUCAGAAGUACUGGACAUACCUAUCAUUUUCACGCACUUGCAAUCAGGCAAGUAACGCGGAGUAGGCCAAGCCAAGCAGUUGGUUAUCAACCAAAUUUAGACUUACGUGAGGAAUCGACAAAUAUAAUGGUUGCUUUCAUGAUGUCUUUUCCAUUUCCGAAUAUUCAAACUGUGGUUUUCGUAGUUUUUCUUUCGGUGGAGAAGCAGGACUCGGGUCUGCAUUUCAUCACUGGCCUUCAUUUCUUUGACAAUUCUGUAUCCAUCAUGCUGCAGUGUGCCUGUGUUGUCAUCUAGCCUGAUUAUUUGUUUAUGACUCGGCAUCUAAACUGAGUCUACUAACCAUCCAAGUGCCUCGAUACAAUGUCAUGGUUUUAUUCUAAGUUAUUUUGCUAUUGUUUUUGUACUCAUCCUCUAGUUUGACCGAAUCAUGUUGUUUUUGUCAAGGGUAGGAAUAUUUCAAGCCAAAUUGAUGUUGCUGAUGGAGCCUUGAAAGCAACAAUUAUCAAGCCCCGCGGGGGCGACAUUUCCAAACCUGAUUGCUAUUUUUCUCAGUCAAGUUUUGGAUAAAUAUUCUGAAUGAUAUUUUAUGUCAAAGUAAAAUCUUUCUAGACAAAUACCAUUAUGUGGUAACUUGAACUUCCAAUAAAUGGAUUAACUAAAACAUAUUCAUGUCAAAUUUCGGAC